UCUCUAGCUGGCGUCUGGUAUCCUAGCAACGACACGAACUCUUGGAAACCGCCCCUUUCUUAUCCCUCCUACCCACAACCGCCCAAUUUGCUGCCAGCAAAGUCUUUCCACACCCCCACAAACUCCAAACCCUUCAUCCCUAUUUACUUGUCUUCGACUACAUCCCUAACAAGUUGUUCUGAGUCAACCAACCCCUUUCCACUGUCUCCCAAGUCUAGGAUUCUCUCUCGCCUGCCAUUCUCGGUUUGGCCAUCCUUAAGAACAGUCCAUCCUUAGGAACUUCUCCGCUCUUCUUCGUUCCUCUCUCGCCUCAAGCUAGCAGCUGUCUAUUUUACAUCAUGCCUGGGG
rnacentral:lncRNA from 1 species